AUUGAACGCUGGCGGCAGGCCUAACACAUGCAAGUCGAGCGGAGCGGCGGACGGGGGAGUAAUGCCUAGGAAUCUGACUGGUAGUGGGGGAUAACGUCCGGAAAUGGGCGCUAAUACCGCAACCUAUCAGCUUCGGCUAGGUCGGAUUAGCUAGUUGGUGGGGUAAAGGCCUACCAAGGCGACGAUCCGUAACUGGUCUGAGAGGAUGAUCAGUCACACUGGAACUGAGACACGGUCCAGACUCCUACGGGAGGCAGCAGUGGGGAAUAUUGGACAAUGGGCGAAAGCCUGAUCCAGCCAUGCCGCGUGUGUGAAGAAGGUCUUCGGAUUGUAAAGCACUUUAAGUUGGGAGGCGUUACCAACAGAAUAAGCACCGGCUAACUUCGUGCCAGCAGCCGCGGUAAUAC
rnacentral:rRNA from 1 species